UACGGGGGGGGCAAGCGUUGUUCGGAAUUACUGGGCGUAAAGGGCUCGUAGGUGGCCAACUAAGUCAGACGUGAAAUCCCUCAGCUUAACUGGGGAACUGCGUCUGAUACUGGAUGGCUUGAGUUUGGGAGAGGGAUGCGGAAUUCCAGGUGUAGCAGUGAAAUGCGUAGAGAUGUGGAGGAACACCGAUGGCGAAGGCAGCCCCCUGGGCUGAGAUUGACGCUCAGGCACGAAGGCGUGGGGAGCAAACAGG
rnacentral:rRNA from 1 species